GUAAAUAUAGUAUAACCAAAACAUUAGAUUGUGGAUCUAAUAACAGAAGUCUGAAACUUCUUAUCUACU
rnacentral:tRNA from 2 species